rnacentral:rRNA from 1 species
CCUACGGGAGACAGCAGUGAGGAAUAUUGGUCAAUGGACGAGAGUCUGAACCAGCCAAGUAGCGUGAAGGAUGAAGGCCCUAUGGGUUGUAAACUUCUUUUAUAGGGGAAUAAAAUGUUCCACGUGUGGGCUUUUGUAUGUACCCUAUGAAUAAGGAUCGGCUAACUCCGUGCCAGCAGCCGCGGUAAUACGGAGGAUCCGAGCGUUAUCCGGAUUUAUUGGGUUUAAAGGGAGCGUAGGUGGGUUGUUAAGUCAGGUGGGAAAGUUUGCGGCUCAACCGUAAAAUUGCAGUUGAAACUGGCAGUCUUGAGUACAGUAGAGGUGGGCGGAAUGCGUGUUGUAGCGGUGAAAUGCUUAGAUAUCACGAAGAACUCCGAUUGCGAAGGCAGCUCACUGGACUGCAACUGACACUGAUGCACGAAAGCGUGGGGAUCGAACAGGAUUAGAUACCCUGGUAGUC